GACACGCUGGCGGCGUGCCUAACACAUGCAAGUCGAGCGGGGUUGAAGCGAGGGGUAACUCGAACUUCUACCUAGCGGCGGACGGGUGAGUAACGCGUGGGCAACCUGCCUCAAGGUCUGGGAUAACAGCUCGAAAGGGCUGCUAAUACCGGAUAUGCCUAUAGCCUCGCAUGGGGCUAUGAGCAAAGGGGAAACCCGCCUUGAGAUGGGCCCGCGUCCCAUCAGCUAGUUGGUGAGGUGAAGGCUCACCAAGGCGACGACGGGUAGCCGGCCUGAGAGGGUGACCGGCCACACUGGGACUGAGACACGGCCCAGACUCCUACGGGGGGCAGCAGUGGGGAAUCUUGCACAAUGGGCGAAAGCCUGAUGCAGCGACGCCGCGUGAGCGAAGAAGGCCUUCGGGUUGUAAAGCUCUGUCUGGAGGGACGAAGAAAGUGACGGUACCUCCGGAGGAAGCCACGGCUAACUACGUG
rnacentral:rRNA from 1 species